rnacentral:rRNA from 1 species
AUGGAGCUCACGAAGCAGGGGCGGGCGCCACAGCCACAAUUGCCUUCGGCUGCGCACCGGUCCGCGCAGGUCCCGUACCCCGCGGCGUUCCACCCUGGCAACUGGGGCGCGCCCGCGCCGGCCAGCUCCUACUUGAUCGUGCCCAUGAGCCAGCACCCGGCGCAGGUUGGCGUGCCCAGGCCCAGCGCGGACCUCACCGGGUCGAGGCCUUUGAGCAGGGUGUCGUUGAGGCCGCCGCAGCAGGUCCUGCGUGUUCAAGCGGGUCAUCCUGGGAUUGUUGCCUCGCAGCCGCCGGCGCCGCCCUCGGUGGUCAAGAAGAUGGCGAUGUCGCCCAAGGUCCAGAUGCUCAAGUCGCCACCAUCGCAGUUUUCUGCUGGCAAGCGUUCUGUUCAGAAGGAACUGCCGCCGAAGGCUCAUCCGCAGUUGUCUGAGUCUGUGAGAUCGAAAUUCAGGGAGGCUCUGUCUGCUGCCUUGAGUACAGAUUCUGACCAGCAAUCUUCUGGAAAUGUGUCACUUGUGGGAUCAGCUGGUGACAACAGGCAGGCAGACGGUGGUAGAAUGCAAGGAAUCACAGCCGUAUUCCAGGAUGCAGGUAAAGAUGAUGAUGAUGAUGAUAAUGUCACAAAGGUUGCUGCUAUCAGAAGCGAACACGGUGGCACGUUAUGUAGCAAUUUGGGAUCAAACAUGACAAUGCAGCAACGAACAGAACAUGUUCCAUUGGGAAACAAAGUAUUGGGCAAUAGCACUGUUUCUUUAGAUGAUGUUUUGCAAGGUGAUGGGCUUUGCUGGACUCCCCACAUUGCUCUUGGAGCUUCUGAAUCCAUGUCACAACCAAAUCCAAAAAGGGCCAGGAUGUCUGAUGUUCAAACUGGGGUUAAUUUAUCUCAAAUUGUCCUGGAGUCUAAAAGAGGAACUACCAUGGAUGAGGUAAUAGAAGAAAAGAAGGUCAGGAUUCAUAAGGCCCAAAGGUUAGCAUUCAUAAUUGAAGAGGAGAUGUUCAAAUUAUUUGAGGGAGUUAAUAAGAAAUACAAGGAGAAAGGUAGAUCACUUCUGUUUAAUCUGAAAGAUAAAAACAAUCCUGGGCUGAGGGAAAGAGUCUUGUCUGGAGAAAUAACACCUAAAUGCCUAUGUGCGAUGACCAUUGAAGAACUUGCUUCAAAGGAGCUUUCAGAGUGGCGGAUGGCUAAAGCUGAAGAGCUUGCAAAAAUGGUUGUUCUUCCUGAUAGAGAAGUGGACGUUAGACGCUUGGUGAGGAAAACACACAAGGGAGAAUUUCAAGUUGAGGUGGAAGAAACUGAUGUUUUUCCGGUAGAAGUUGGGCUUGGUGGUGAUUCACUUUCUUAUGUUCCAUCAGAACCUGUUGCAGUUCAGACCAAAUCUGACGAUAAAGCAAGUGUACCCUGGGUGACCAAGGAAUCGGACAACAGUGUGCAAGAUGUAGUUGGGACAUGGAACAGCAACACAUCAAGCAAUUUAGAAUAUCCAGCAAAUGAGAAAAAUGAUCUCAUGCUAGAACCAAUGGUUGAUGACCUGAAGGUUAUGGAGAAUCUCCCACUGAUCAUUUCACUGGAUGAAUUCAUGCAGGUCCUUGAUUCAGAACCACAUUCUAAAGAUCAGUCCAUUGGAGUCCUGCAAGAUGAUCCUAAUACUAACAAAGCCGACAAAGCUAAGUCAGCAAAUUUUCCCAUAACCAUGGACAAGGCCGCCGUAUCAGAAUUCCAAUUUCAUUCUGAUGUGCCGUCUCAAAGAGGUUAUUGUGAAUCCAAGUCAGAAUCACCCAUAAACAAACCAGUUCCAGUUUUGGAUCCAGUUGAAGAACCAAAGGGAGAUGUGUUAGUCAAAUCCCCCCCUGAAGAGGUGGAUGCUGAAAAAUCAGAUACUGUUAACGUCUCGAUUCCUGAAUCUACUAUGCAGUGUAAUAUUACUCCUGAUGCUGUGCUGACACAUGACAUUAUAUGGGAGGGAACAAUUGAGCUUAGUUUGUCUUCACUCACAAAUAUUGUUGCUAUCUUCAAAAGUGGUAAAAAGCCAUCUACAAAUGAGUGGCGCCGCUUUCUUGAAAUCAAGGGAAGGGUGAGACUCAGUGCUUUUGAAGAAUUUCUCGAACAGCUUCCUAAAUCCAGCAGCCGUACUAUAACGGUAACUGAGUUACGCUGGAAGGAGGCCUCUCUUGAGAGUGGUCGACAUCAUCUCUUAAAGACUAUUGACUCAUAUAUAGCAGAUGAGAGAGUAGGGCUAGUGAAGCCUUCUGAAGGGGUGGAGUUGUACCUCUGUCCUUCUCAAGGGAAGGCAGCUCAGAUACUUGCUGACCACCUGCCAAAGGAGCACUCGGGUAGUUUUACUGUGCCUGGAACAUCUAUCAUCGGAGUCGUCGUGUGGCGAAGACCCCAUGCCUCAUCUAGGGUGCCCAAUAGGCAAGAUGACUCCAAGAGGCAGGCUGCCACUUCUGGUUCAGCUAUGCCCAUGAUCUCCCAGCCAUCAUCCCGCUCUUCCACUGCUUCUCAUCAGGAAGUUGUAACCGCUGAUGUUCCUCCUGGCUUUGGUUCUGGUGUUGUUAGGGAUGAUGAUGACCUACCUGAAUACAAUUUCGUUAGCGUCUCAAACUCGGCUGCCAAUGUGACAGUGCCACAGACUUACAGGAGCCAUCAGCAUCUAGCACACACUUCUUCCCCGACAGACCGAGUGAGAGAAUUGAUUCGCAAGUAUGGUAACAGAUCUGCUGCAGCCCAACCCUGGAACAGCGAUGGCGACGACGAUGACUUACCAGAAUGGGAUCCGUGUUCUCAAGGUAACCUCCAGCAGGCGCGGAUUCCACAGCCACAUUACCCUUAUCAACGUCAUGAGCAGCUGCAGUACCAUUCCUUGCUUCAGCAAUCGCAAAGCUCAUUGUCCCAGGCAUACCCCCAGCAGGGGGAAAUAUCCAGUGCUCCAAAGGAUUCGGUGCUCCAGCUACUCCCUGUACAGCUCAAACGUUGGAUACAAAAUGUAGGUACGGGAUGA